GGCCGGGAAGGAGGGAACGGGGCCUGGCGCGGCGGCGGCGGUGCCGGAGCCGCCGGGAGAGGGACCGGCAGCGGUGCCCAGCGCCCGCGGUGCUCGGCGGAGGAGGCGCGGUCGCUCCGGUGCCCUGGCGCCGGGCAGGGCCGAGGCGCCGGGCCGGGAGGCAGCCUCUUUGUGUGGGAAAUGCUGAGGAUGCUGCGUGCUUUAUUAUUUGAAGAGCUUAAUGAAGCAGCUUGGCCAUCUCUUGCAGUAUAGGAGCAUGUAGUGAGGUUACAUUUCUCAUCUCAGUGCUACUGAACUUGGGUAUCUUAAUUUUUCUCUUGAUGAUCACUUCUACUGACCAGUCUUGGUAACAGAAAUCAGUUCUCGGGUUCAGCUGUGUUGUGACAGGAUAACAUCUCAAGGUACUGCCCAGAGUGGAAGGUUUUUACAGGAGUAUCUGGCAUCCUCUAAUUUAGCAGUGAAGAAACUUACACGGGUGUUGUGUUUCCUGGUACCUGUUGACUCCCUGCUUGGCUUUUGAACGUGGAUCAGAUUAUAGAAGUCCCAGCUCUCUAGUCACCUAAAAUAUUUAUUGGCUUGUUAAAGAGAAGAACAUCUGCUGCUGUGAAGCCAAGAUUUGUUUUAGAAUUGUCACUGGACUCUACUAGUCUGUCUGGACACUAUAAAGCUAAUUUUACCAUAGAAAAGAGGUAGUAGAAACAGUGGAAACUCAUUCAGAACAGGGAACCAUAUUCCUUUAGAAUUCCAUUCAAGUAUUUCUUGUGAAUAUUUUGUGAAUGAUCAGCUGUGAAAAAGGUUAGUUUGGGCAUGUUGGAGCCUCAUUAAGAUGCUUUGGCAGUCCCUGAGGAGGAACCUGUAUGGCAGGAUAACUGUGUGAUGUCUCACACUGUUGCCCCAAAAGGACAGUCGCUGAUACUUAGAAAGUGGGAGUUUUGGGAAAUGGUGGGUGGAAAUACCCUCUCAAGCCAUGUAAUUAAAAUGAAACGAGCGGCCAGAGGAGCUGAUCCAGCAAGAUUCAAAACAAGCAGGUAUUUGUGUGAGCACCAGCACGGCCAAAAACACUGACAAGAGAUUAAACAUGUGACUCAGGUUCAAACUGAUCUUUAUUGCAAUGAGAACUGCCCUUUUCUGUGUAACAGGAUAUCAAAAUUUGCUUUUCACAGUGCCUUGUGCUCUCCUGGAGUUCCCUGGUGCUGAAUUAGGGAGAAAGGGCUGGACUGGCAGGAAAGGGAAUAUGGCAAAUCAUCUUGCUGAUGGUGUUGCUGUGCAGGGAGGAGUUCAGAGGUCCCAGGGGGACACGGAGCACAGCCUCAGCUCUCUGUGGGCAGUGUGAAAACCCUGUGUUGGCACACGGGGCCUUCAGAGCUCGGAGUGUGUGUGUUUGGGCCAAAGAACAGGCUGAGCUGGCAGCAGUGGGCUUCCCCUGGCCAGAGGAUCUGGGCUCCUGAGACAGUCAAGGAGCACGUUUGCUUCACAGAGACACUGGAGGGGAAAUGUGCACUUGUCAGAGCACUGCCCAUUCCUGCAGUGGGAUCCCAGCUGCUCCUUGAAGGCUGUUCCUCCGAGUUUAGGAUUUCCUCCCAGCUCUGUCCCCUGAGCCUUGCAGAGCCCUUAGCUCUGUGUUUAUGCACCAUAUAAAGUGAUGUGCUCCAGAGUGAGCAGAGCUCAUGUGGGGCAGGUUUUUGCAGCAUCUGCAGCUCAGGGCUGGGUGGGGUUUAUUCCAGUUCCACUUUCAGUUUAACUUCUGGCACUUCUCAGCAAAUUCAGGAGUCUUCUUUGGGUUUGUAUGUUACUAUUGCCCAUUUGCAGUGUUUGCUGUCCCUGUUGCCUUUCUGAAGGGGAUCAGUUCCACGGGAUUGGUGGCCAGAGCUGAGAGAAGCAGCUCCCAGGCUGUGCUGCUGCUCCGUCCCCGGCGUCUGGCAGCCAGUCUGUCCAGCAGCAGCUCCAGACUCGCUGUUCUCACUGCAGACACUCCAGCUGACAGCAGCAGGGAUUCAUCUGCCCCCAAACCCCGCAGGAACACACGGGAAUGAGCCUUGUGUUUGAUCUGGCACAGUGCAGCACUGGAGAGUGGCGUGAGGCGUUCCUCCAGGGAUGCAAAUGCACUGCCACCAGCAGUGAAACCCAGCUUUGGGAAGCUGAACUGUAGAUUAUCCAUCCCAGUAAUCCCAGUGUGGCUACACAGGGUUGCACAUGGGUCGAGGAAUUGGAGUAUUAUGGUUUCUAUGUUGGCAUAAAAAUGUUCAGGCAUAAAUAUCAUUACUCUGUUUCUGGCUGGCUUGAAAAUUCCACUGCUCUCUCAUAAAUAGAGUGAGAGAUGGCCCCGGUUGGUUUUGUGGGUUUGUUUUCCUGUUUUAUUUAAACUACAGAAAUCUGGUCUCGGUGCUGGAGCCAGCUGGAACAGCAGGACACUGCUCCUCCUUAUAGUGCCUAAUCUCACAUUUUCUAGUUCAUUGCAGUAAGAUUUGAUCCUGUCAACUGUUUUGGUCUGUCUCCUCAAGGAAGGGUCCCAGGUUACUUCAGCUGGUUACUGAAAGCUCCGUGUAUCUCCUGGAGCAGGGAUUGCAGCUGACAUUUAUAGCACGUGGAAAUUCUCCUUAAUAGGGAUAAAGGAGAAAGUUUUCAGAUAGGGAAUUUCUUCAGAGAUGUGUGUGUACAGGGAAAUGGGUCCUGCUGAGAGCUCAGGACCUCCAAAACCACCACAUGAAUAAGCAUUGUUCAGUCCAGUGUGCAAACUGUAAACAGAGGUAGUAAACAGAUUUACAGAGAAGAAAACCUUUUGUACUUUCUGUAUGGACUACUGCAGGACACUCACUCACCAGCUCUUCUGUCCUGCAGGCUUUGGAUUUCCCACCAUUGCUGGGUUUGCAUAUAUGAAAAUGUAAAAUGAUAGCAUUUAAUAAAAUCCACAAACCGUUA